GUGAGAUGUGGCACGUAAACUAAAAUUGGAACGAAACCAAGAAGAUAAGCAUGACCCUCGGUAAGGAUGACAUGCAAAUUUGUGAAGCGUUCCAUAUUUUU
rnacentral:snRNA from 1 species